GACGAACGCUGGCGGCGUGCUUAAUACAUGCAAGUCAACGAUAACCAGAGUGCUUGCAUUCUGGGGAAAGUGGCGCACGGGUGCGUAACGCGUAGAUAAUCUGCCCUUAGGUCUGACAUAACUCCGGGAAACCGGGGCUAAUAUCAGAUAAAAUGAUGGCUCGGCAUCGAGACCAUCAUCAAAUCUUCGGAGCCCAAGGAUGAAUCUGCGUCCCAUAGGUAGUUGGUGAGGUAAUGCUCACCAAGCCUUCGAUGGGUAGCUGGUCUGAGAGGAUGAUCAGCCACACUGGAACUGAGACACGGUCCAGACUCCGUACGGGAGCAGCAGUAAGGAAUUAUUGCACAAUGGCCGAAGGCUGAUGCAGCAACGCCGCGUGGA
rnacentral:rRNA from 1 species